AUGGCGACCGGCGCACGGGUGAGUAACACGUGUCCAACCUGCCGAUGACUCGGGGAUAGCCUUUCGAAAGAAAGAUUAAUACCCGAUGGCAUAGUUCUUCCGCAUGGUAGAACUAUUAAAGAAUUUCGGUCAUCGAUGGGGAUGCGUUCCAUUAGCUUGUUGGCGGGGUAACGGCCCACCAAGGCAUCGAUGGAUAGGGGUUCUGAGAGGAAGGUCCCCCACAUUGGAACUGAGACACGGUCCAAACUCCUACGGAAGGCAGCAG
rnacentral:rRNA from 1 species